CCUGCCAGUAGUCAUAUGCUUGUCUCAAAGAUUAAGCCAUGCAUGUCUAAGCACGAACUUUUACACAGUGAAGCUGCGAAUGGCUCAUUAGGUCACCCAUUAUUUCUUGGAUCGUACAAUCCUACUUGGAUAACUGUGGUAAUUCUAGAGCUAAUACAUGCGAGCAAGCUCCGACCCGGCUCGUCCGCGGAAAGAGCGCGUUUAUUAGAUCAAAACCAAUCGGUCGGUCGUCGAAAGGCGGCAGGCCGUAACCUUUGGUGACUCUGGAUAACUUUGAGCGGAUCGCACGGGCCUCGACCCGGCGACGUAUCUUUCAAGUGUGUGCCCUAUCAACUUUCGAUGGUACGCGAUAUGCCUACCAUGGUCGUAACGGGUAACGGGGGAAUCAGGGUUCGAUUCCGGAGAGGGAGCAUGAGAAACGGCU
rnacentral:rRNA from 1 species